GUUAAUGUAGCUUAUAGAAAGCAAAGCACUGAAAAUGCUUAGAUGGAUUAUUUAAAUCCCAUAAACA
rnacentral:tRNA from 1 species